GUAGGGUGCGAGCGUUAAUCGGAAUUACUGGGCGUAAAGCGUGCGCAGGCGGUUUGUUAAGACAGGUGUGAAAUCCCCGGGCUUAACCUGGGAAUGGCGCUUGUUACUGGCAAGCUAGAGUGUGUCAGAGGGAGGUAGAAUUCCACGUGUAGCAGUGAAAUGUGUAGAGAUCCGGAGGAACACCAGUGGUGCAGACGGCGCCCUGGGUCCGAACUGACGCUGAAGCACGAAAGCGUGGGGAGCGAGCGGGAUUAGAGACCCCGGUAGUCCACGCCGUAAACGAUGUCAACUAGGUGUCCACUGGGCUACGGUUCAGGGGGUGCCGACCUAACGCAAUAAGUUGACCGCCUGGGGAGUACGGUCGCAAGGCUA
rnacentral:rRNA from 1 species